UACGAAGGGGGCUAGCGUUGCUCGGAAUCACUGGGCGUAAAGCGCACGUAGGCGGCUUUCUAAGUCAGGGGUGAAAUUCUGGAGCUCAACUCCAGAACUGCCUUUGAUACUGGAGAGCUAGAGUCCGGAAGAGGUGAGUGGAACUGCGAGUGUAGAGGUGAAAUUCGUAGAUAUUCGCAAGAACACCAGUGGCGAAGGCGGCUCACUGGUCCGGUACUGACGCUGAGGUGCGAAAGCGUGGGGAGCAAACAGG
rnacentral:rRNA from 1 species